rnacentral:rRNA from 1 species
UACGAAGGUCCCAAGCGUUAUCCGGAUUUAUUGGGUUUAAAGGGUGCGUAGGCGGGUUAUUAAGUCAGUGGUGAAAGCCUACAGCUUAACUGUAGAAUUGCCAUUGAUACUGAUGAUCUUGAGUGUGAUUGAGGUAGGCGGAAUGUGUCAUGUAGCGGUGAAAUGCUUAGAUAUGACACAGAACACCGAUUGCGAAGGCAGCUUACUAAGUCAUAACUGACGCUGAUGCACGAAAGCGUGGGGAGCAAACAGG